rnacentral:rRNA from 1 species
AUUGAACGCUGGCGGCAGGCCUAACACAUGCAAGUCGAGCGGAUGAAGGGAGCUUGCUCCUGGAUUCAGCGGCGGACGGGUGAGUAAUGCCUAGGAAUCUGCCUGGUAGUGGGGGAUAACGUCCGGAAACGGGCGCUAAUACCGCAUACGUCCUGAGGGAGAAAGUGGGGGAUCUUCGGACCUCACGCUAUCAGAUGAGCCUAGGUCGGAUUAGCUAGUUGGUGGGGUAAAGGCCUACCAAGGCGACGAUCCGUAACUGGUCUGAGAGGAUGAUCAGUCACACUGGAACUGAGACACGGUCCAGACUCCUACGGGAGGCAGCAGUGGGGAAUAUUGGACAGUGGGCGAAAGCCUGAUCCAGCCAUGCCGCGUGUGUGAAGAAGAUCUUCGGAUUGUAAAGCACUUUAAGUUGGGAGGAAGGGCAGUAAGUUAAUACCUUGCUGUUUUGACGUUACCAACAGAAUAAGCACCGGCUAACUUCGUG